UACAGAGGGGGCGAGCGUUGUUCGGAAUUACUGGGCGUAAAGCGUGCGCAGGCGGUUCGUUGUGUCGGCGGUGAAAUCCCCGGGCUCAACCUGGGAAUGGCCGUUGAAACUGGCGAACUGGAGUGUGGCAGAGGGGGGUGGAAUUCCGCGUGUAGCAGUGAAAUGCGUAGAGAUGCGGAGGAACACCGAUGGCGAAGGCAGCCCCCUGGGCUGACACUGACGCUCAGGCACGAAAGCGUGGGGAGCAAACAGG
rnacentral:rRNA from 1 species